rnacentral:rRNA from 1 species
GAUGAACGCUGGCGGCGUGCCUAAUACAUGCAAGUCGAGCGAACAGAUGAGGAGCUCUCUCACCUGACGUUAGCGGCUGACGGGUGAGUAACAAGUGGAUAACCUACCUAUCAGACUGGGAUAACUACGAGAAACCAGAGACAAUAACGGCUAAUAAGUUCAACCGCAUGGAUCAAUAGUUGAGGACGGGUUUCGCGACCUAUAGCGAUGGAUCCGCGCCGCAUUAGCUAGUUGGUAAGGUAACGGCUUACCAAGGCAACGAUGCGUAGCCGACCUGAGAGGGUGAUCGGCCACACUGGAACUGAGACACGGCCCAGACUCCUACGGGAGGCAGCAGUAGGGAAUCUUCCGCAAUGGGCGAAAGCCUGACGGAGCAACGCCGCGUGAGUGAUGAAGGUCUUCGGAUCGUAAAGCUCUGUUAUUAGGGAAGAACAGAUGUGUAAGUAACUAUUCACGUCGUGACGGUACCUAAUCAGAAAGCCACGGCUAACUACGUG